rnacentral:rRNA from 1 species
GAUUUCUGGUUGGGCGCAUUUGGCCCGCUUCGGUUACGAGGUUGAGUGCCGUUUUGCGCCCGCCAUCCUUCUAGAGUACGACUCUCCCUUUACUGGGUUGGGCCGGAAUCUAGAUCAUUUACUUUGAAAAAAUUAGAGUGUUUAAAGCAGGCUUACGCUAUGAAUACAUUAGCAUGGAAUAAUAAUAUAGGACUUUGGUUCUAUUUUGUUGGUUUCUAGGACUGAAGUAAUGAUUGAUAGGGAUAGUUGGGGGUGCUAGUAUUCAGUGGCCAGAGGUGAAAUUCUUGGAUUCACUGAAGACUAACUACUGCGAAAGCAUU